ensembl:lncRNA
UACAACACCAGAAAGCACCACUACAGAAAGCACCACAACGGGUACCACAACUCCAGAAAGCACAACAACUGAGACAACAGAAAGCACCACAGCGGGUACCACAACAACCGAGACAACAACAGAAAUUACCACAAAAGAAAGCACCACAACGGAUACCACAACAACAGAAAGCGACACAAUGACAGAAAGUACAACCACUGGACCGACCACUCCAAAAAGUACAAUGAUGGAGACCACAGCAACAGAAAGUUCCACACCCAGCACAACAACCGAAGCCACAACAAUAGAAAGUAACACCACAGGUACCACAACUGAGAUCACAACAACAGAACAAACCACAACUCCAGAAAGUACUACUACAGCUACCACAACACCAUAAAGCACAACAACCGAGACCACAACAACAGAAAGCACUACAAAAGAAAGUACCACCACUGGUAUUACAACUUCAGAAAGCACCACAACCGAGACCACUACAGACACUACAACACCAGAAAGCACCACUACAGGUACCACAACAGCCGAGACAACAACAGACACUACAACAACAGAAAGCAUCACCACAGUUACCACAACGACAGAAAGCACAACAACCGAGACCACAACAGAUAAUACAACACCAGAAAGCACCACUACAGGUACCACAACAGCUGAGACCACAACAGACACUACAACAACAGAGAGUACCACUACAGGUACCACAACACCAGAAAGCACCCCAACCUAGACCACAACAGACACUACACCACCAGAACGGCCCACGACAGGUCCCCCACCACCAGCAAGCACAACAACCGAGACCACACCAGAGACCACAACAAAAGAAAGUACCACCCCUGGUAUUAUAUAUUCAGAAAGUACAACAAUGGAAAUCACAUCUGUAGAAAGCACCACAACAGACACUACAAUAACAGAAAGCACGACCACAGGCACUACAACAGCAGAAAGCACCACUAGAGGUACCACAACAGAGACCACAACAACAGAAAGCACCACAACGGAGAUCACAACAACAGAAGAAACCACAACUCCAGAAAGUACUACUACAGCUACCACAACACCAGAAAGCACAACAACCGAAACCACAACAACAGAAAGCACUACAACAGAAAGUACCACCACUGCUAUAACAACUUCAGAAAGCACCACAACCGAGACCACUACAGACACUACAACACCAGAAAGCACCACCACAGGUACCACAACAGCUGAGAAAACAACAGACACUAUAACAACAGAAAGCACCACCACAGGUACCACAACAACAGAAAGAGCAACAACCAAGAGCACAACAGACACUACAACAACAGAAAGCACCACCACAGGUACCACAACACCAGAAAGCACCACAACCGAGACCAAAACAGACACUACAAUGCCAGAAAGUACCACUACAGGUACCACAACACCAGAAAGCACAACAACCGAGACCACAACAGAGACCACAACAAAAGAAAGUACCACCCCUGGCAUUAUACAUUCAGAAAGUACAACAACGGAAAUCACAACUGUAGAAAGCACCACAACAGACACUACAACAACAGAAAGCACGACCACAGGCACUACAACAGCAGAAAGCACCACUAGAGGUACCACAACAACAGAAAGCACUACAACAGGAAGUACCACCACUGGUAUUACAACUUUAGAAAGCACCACAACCGAGACCACUACAGACACUACCACACCAGAAAGCACCACUACAGGCAGCACAACAGCCGAGACCACAACAGACACUACAACAACAGAAAGCACUACCACAGGUAUGACAACAUCAGAAAGCACCACAACCGAGACCACUACAGACACUACAACACCAGAAAGUACCACUACAGGUACCACAACACCAGAAAGCACAACAACCGAAACCACAACAGAGACCACAACACCAGAAAGCAUCACAACAGACACUUCAACAGCAGAAAGCACAACAACCGAGACCACAACAGACACUACAACACCAAAAAGCACCACCACAGGUACCAUAACACCAGAAAGCACCACAACAGACACUACAACAACACAAAGCACCACCUCAGGUACCACAACUACUGAAAGCACCACAGUGACAGAAAGUACAACCACUGGCACAACCACUCCAGAAAGUACAACAACAGAAAGCACCACCAGAACUUCAGAAAGUACAACAUUGGAAACCACAACUACUGAAAGCACCACCUCAGGUACCACAACAACAGAAAGCACCACAACUGAGAGAACAACAGAAAUUCCCACAAUAGGUUAAUAGAUUUAAUGUCUUUUUAAAGUAUUUUCUGUAUACAGUGGCUCUAGAUAAAAUUCAAAUAAGAUCCAUAUCUAAUAAAUUGCCCUGAAGGAAUAAAUGCA